CGCGUGGGGAAUCUGCCAAUGAGUGGGGGACAACAUUUGGAAACGAAUGCUAAUACCGCAUAAAAUCUAUUGAGACAUCUCAAGAGAUUGAAAGGAACAAUUGUUUCGCUCGUUGAUGAUCCCGCGUUGUAUUAGCUAGUUGGUGAGGUAACGGCUCACCAAGGCGAUGAUACAUAGCCGACCUGAGAGGGUGAUCGGCCACAUUGGGACUGAGACACGGCCCAAACUCCUACGGGAGGCAGCAGUAGGGAAUCUUCGGCAAUGGGGGCAACCCUGACCGAGCAACGCCGCGUGAGUGAAGAAGGUUUUCGGAUCGUAAAACUCUGUUGUUAGAGAAGAACGUGUGUGGGAGUGGAAAAUCCAUGCAGUGACGGUAUCUAACCAGAAAGGGACGGCUAACUACGUG
rnacentral:rRNA from 1 species